rnacentral:rRNA from 1 species
UACGUAGGCAGCGAGCGUUGUUCGGAAUUACUGGGCGUAAAGCGCGCGCAGGUGGUCUUUCAAGUCAGUGGUGAAAGCCCGGAGCUCAACUCCGGAAAUGCCAUUGAAACUGUAAGACUUGAGGAUGAGAGAGGUGAGUGGAAUUCCCAGUGUAGAGGUGAAAUUCGUAGAUAUUGGGAAGAACACCGGUGGCGAAGGCGGCUCACUGGCUCAUAUCUGACGCUCAGGCGCGACAGCGUGGGGAUCAAACAGG